AGCGGCUUGAGUAUUAAGACUGAUUUGAGGCGCAUAAGGUGAUAUGUUGAUAUUGAUGUGAUACCGACCAAAUUGACUGCUAAAGAGGACUGUAUGGACGGCGGUAUAAUAUAGGCUGUCAAUUUUUCGUGAAGUGGUUGUUCUAUAUACUGUCGCUUAGCGGUCAGCUCUGCUUUGGUUAUAACUCGUGUUUACAGUCUACGUUGAAAAGGAAGCAAGGUUACUGUGCACAUUUAAACUGUCUUUGUUCGGUUAGAUCCCACAGCCUCAGAGUCUCUAUAUUAGGCUUGGCCACAAAAGGAGCAGUGUGUCACUGACGUCGGUCGGUAUUAAAAGAGGAACGCUUUGAAAAAUCUCUAUUUCAGUUGGGCCUUGAGUUGUACAAUUCUCGGAUAUACCACAUUCUCAUAGAGUCAUUAUAUGAUACUUGUACUAUUUCAUAGUAUGAUGUAUUAGUUUUCUUAAAAAAAGCCAAAAGAAAAAGAUCUGGCAACGCCACAAGAAAGCGUCGUUCAGUUCAAGCUCAGUUCAAGUUAAACAGACUAUUGGCAUUGGCACAAGAAAAAUCAGACCUCAUAUUUGUUAAG